AUUCUCGCUUCGGCAGCACAUAUACUAAAAUUGGAAAGAUACAAAGAAGAUUAGCAUGGCCCCUGUACAAGGAUGACACGCAAAUGUAGGAGUACUGCUAUUUAUUC